rnacentral:rRNA from 1 species
CAGCCGCCGCGGUAAUACGGAGGGGGCUAGCGUUGUUCGGAAUUACUGGGCGUAAAGCGCACGUAGGCGGCUUGGUAAGUUAGAGGUGGAAGCCCGGAGCUCAACUCCGGAAUUGCCUUUAAGACUGCCGAGCUAGCAGGUGAGAGAGGUAAGUGGAAUUCCGAGUGUAGAGGUGAAAUUCGUAGAUAUUCGGAAGAACACCAGUGGCGAAGGCGGCUUACUGGCUCAUACUGGACGCUGAGGUGCGAAAGCGUGGGGAGCAAACAGGAUUAGAUACCCCCGUAGUCCCUGUCUCUUAUAC